rnacentral:ncRNA from 1 species
UAACCGCGGCUGUAAGGCCGCGCUGAAUCCGCAGGAGUCAGCAGAGGCCAUAGUACGGAAGUACGGGACGUCGGAAACCGGAAGGGC